rnacentral:rRNA from 1 species
CCUACGGGAGGCAGCAGUGGGGGAUAUUGCACAAUGGGGGAAACCCUGAUGCAGCGACGCCGCGUGUGGGAAGACGGUCCUCUGGAUUGUAAACCACUGUCCCCAGGGACGAAGAUGACGGUACCUGGGGAGUAAGCUCCGGCUAACUACGUGCCAGCAGCCGCGGUAAUACGUAGGGCGCGAGCGUUGUCCGGAAUUACUGGGUGAAAAGGGAGCGUAGGCGGGACUGCAAGUUGGGUGUCAAAUCUACCGGCUCAACCGGUAGCCGCACUCCAAACUGCAGUUCUUGAGUGAAGUAGAGGCAGGCGGAAUUCCUAGUGUAGCGGUGAAAUGCGUAGAUAUUAGGAGGAACACCAGUGGCGAAGGCGGCCUGCUGGGCUUUUACUGACGCUGAGGCGCGAAAGUGUGGGGAGCAAACAGGAUUAGAUACCCGUGUAGUC